rnacentral:rRNA from 1 species
GGNUUAACGGCUGGCGGCGUGCAUAACACAUUCAAGUCGAACGGACAUUCGAGGGGCUUGCUCCUUGGAUGUUAGUGGCGGACGGGUGAGUAACGCGUGAGCAACCUGCCUUUGUGGGGAUAACGACCGGAAACGGUCGCUAAUACCGCAUAACCAGAUAGUAUCGCAUGGUACAGUCUGCAAAGAUUUAUUGCAAAAGGAUGGGCUCGCGUCCGAUUAGAUAGUUGGUGAGGUAACGGCUCACCAAGUCGACGAUCGGUAGCCGGACUGAGAGGUUGAACGGCCACAUUGGAACUGAGAUACGGUCCAGACUCCUACGGGAGGCAGCAGUGGGGAAUAUUGGGCAAUGGGCGAAAGCCUGACCCAGCGACGCCGCGUGAGGGAAGACGGUCUUCGGAUUGUAAACCUCUGUCCUUGGUGAAGAAACAUGACGGUAGCCAUGGAGGAAGCCACGGCUAACUACGUG